rnacentral:lncRNA from 1 species
GGGGAGGAGGAGCGUACUAGUUGGAGCACAGUUUGAGCUUGGGGUUGCAUUGGAGCUAAGGAGCAACAUGUAUGAUCCACUGCAUUCUCUCUUUAACCAAUGGCUUUGGGAUCACCACACUAAGUUCAUAUAAAGAUCAUUGGGCUUUAAAUCAAUCCCAAAUGGAAGCUGGCAGUACUUUUGUUAUGGAUCUCAGAGUUUUAGAACAUUUCCAACAUAGACAACAUCCUGAAACCUCUCUCCCCUCUCUCUCUCUCUCUCUCUUUCUCUCUCUCUCCAUCCUACAUGGGGCAGCCAGUGGGAUUCCUGGCAGAGUGAUUUGAUAUUGUAUCAUAAAAUCACAUUGCCAGGGAUUUCCAACCAGCUGCAUGCCACACUCUUCAACAUCAUCCCCAUCCAAUCCCGCUGGAGCCUGUUGCCUUCCUCAACCUUUCUCCACCGUCCCCAUGCUACAUGUUCCUUCAGAAGCUCACCGGGGAUGAGGAACAUAACUAUUGAGGCCAAUGGCUCUCAUGGUCAGGAUAUAGCUAACGGCCACAGACAAGCAUUCUUUGCUACAAAUGUGAAAUGUUCCUCAACAUCUAAUUGUGGUUUCCCAGUCCCUUGUUCAGUCUCAACAACCCGCUCUGAACUGG